GACGUAGGGCGCGAGCGUUGUCCGGAUUUAUUGGGCGUAAAGAGCUCGUAGGCGGCUUGUUGCGUCGGCUGUGAAAACCCAUGGCUCAACCGUGGGCUUGCAGCCGAUACGGGCAGGCUAGAGUUCGGUAGGGGAGACUGGAAUUCCUGGUGUAGCGGUGGAAUGCGCAGAUAUCAGGAGGAACACCAAUAGCGAAGGCAGCUCGCUGGGACGGUACUGACGCUAAGGCGCGAAAGCGUGGGGAGCGAACAGG
rnacentral:rRNA from 1 species